GACGAACGCUGGCGGCGUGCUUAACACAUGCAAGUCGAACGGAAAGGCCCUGCUUUUGUGGGGUGCUCGAGUGGCGAACGGGUGAGUAACACGUGAGUAACCUGCCCUUGACUUUGGGAUAACUUCAGGAAACUGGGGCUAAUACCGGAUAGGAGCUCCUGCUGCAUGGUGGGGGUUGGAAAGUUUCGGCGGUUGGGGAUGGACUCGCGGGUUAUCAGCUUGUUGGUGGGGUAGUGGCUUACCAAGGCUUUGACGGGUAGCCGGCCUGAGAGGGUGAACGGCCACAUUGGGACUGAGAUACGGCCCAGACUCCUACGGGAGGCAGCAGUGGGGAAUAUUGCACAAUGGGCGGAAGCCUGAUGCAGCAACGCCGCGUGCGGGAUGACGGCCUUCGGGUUGUAAACCGCUUUCGCCGGUGACGAAGCGUGAGUGACGGUAAUGGGUAAAGAAGCACCGGCUAACUACGUG
rnacentral:rRNA from 1 species